AUUGAACGCUGGCGGCAUGCCUUACACAUGCAAGUCGAACGGCAGCACGGGAGCUUGCUCCUGGUGGCGAGUGGCGAACGGGUGAGUAAUACAUCGAAACGUACCCUGAAGUGGGGGAUAACGUAGCGAAAGUUACGCUAAUACCGCAUAUUCUGUGAGCAGGAAAGAGGGGGGAUCGCAAGACCUCUUGCUUUAGGAGCGGCCGAUGUCGGAUUAGCUAGUUGGUGAGGUAAAGGCUCACCAAGGCGACGAUCCGUAGCGGGUCUGAGAGGACGACCAGCCACACUGGAACUGAGACACGGUCCAGACUCCUACGGGAGGCAGCAGUGGGGGAAUUUUUGGACAAUGGGGGGCAACCCUGAUCCAGCCAUUCCGCUGAGUGAAGAAGGCCUCGGUU
rnacentral:rRNA from 1 species